AGCAGCCGCGGUAAUUCCAGCUCCAAUAGCGUAUAUUAAAGUUGUUGCAGUUAAAAAGCUCGUAGUUGAAUUUCGGGGUCAGUAGGUUGGUCAUGCCACUGGUAUGUACUGGUCUCACUGAUUCCUCCUUCCUGAUGAGCCGUAAUGCCAUUAAUUUGGUGUUGCGAGGAAUCUGGACUGUUACUUUGAAAAAAUUGAGUGUUUAAAGCAGGCUAACGCUUGAAUACAUUAGCAUGGAAUAAUGAAAUAGGACGUUCGAUCUUAUUUUGUUGGUUUCUAAGAUUGACGUAAUGAUUAAUAGGGAUAGUUGGGGGCAUUAGUAUUCAAUUGUCAGAGGUGAAAUUCUUGGAUUUAUUGAAGACUAACUACUGCGAAAGCAUUUGCCAAGGAUGUUUUCAUUAAUCAAGGACGAAAGUUAGGGGAUCGAAGACGAUCAGAUACCGUCGUAGUCUUAACCAUAAACUAUGCCGACUAGGGAUCGGAUGAUGUUUAAUUUUUUAAUGUACUCAUUCC
rnacentral:rRNA from 1 species